UUGGUGGGGAAACAGAGUUGGGGCGCUAACGCUGCGAAGUGGCGGUGGCGGGGGUCCUCCCCUGGGGCGCUGCGGAAUGAGUUUACACAGUGAAUAGUUAUCGGAUGGGAAAUGUAAGGGUGAAAGGAGUGGGGACAGGGUCGUAAGACCCAUCUCCAGAGUCGCCGCAAAAGCUCAAAGAUGUCUCUAGCUUAUGUAAGACCCUCUCCCCUCCGUGCGCCUCCACGCGGUGGCGGCGUCUGCCCCCCGUUUAGUGCGUCUGAGCAACUCUAACCGCCCUUGCCUAAGCGGGCAGAGGGCUUUCGGCGCCUCUCUCCUGCAGCCCCAAAGUGUCGAGGAUAACUGGGAACCUGGCAUCAAACCUGCGCUCCGCGUCCAUUCCCACACCGCCACAGUACUGAUCACCAUGACUAGUAUGUGAUGGGUGGCUGUGCCUGGUCGUUUGAAAUCCCUGGAGCCUGGGUCUUUUUCCUAACAGUCUGACUCCAUAUAUAAGUGUACCACUUAGCAACUUCUGAAACAUCCUUCUGAUUGAUACAAUGCUAUCUGCCUAUUCAGAGAACACAAGAAGAAGACGAAGCCCUGUGAAAUUCACCUCUGAGUCUUCUGUUACCUUGAAACUGAGAACAUGGAGGAUUACAUCAUUUACUGACCUCUUUAUGAAGCUUCUCAAGAGAAACUUCAGUCUGGUCUUAAUAUUAGAAAUAACAGUGCUUCCUUCACUUGAGUAACCGGUUUGUUUUUGUUUUAUGGGCAGUAAAUGAAGUAACUAAUUAAAUUUCCUCUUCUGACCAUCUGCUAGAAAGCUUAAGUUUAAAUUUGUAGUCAACCCAGAGUAAAAGAGUAGUAUUGCAUAAA